GGGGCGCAGCAGGCGCGAAACCUUAGCAAUGUGCGAAAGCACGACUGGGUCAGUGCGAGUGAUUCCUGAUAAAGGAGUCUUUUUCUUGUCCUAAAAGCUCAGGUGAAUAAGGGGUGGGCAAGUCUGGUGUCAGCCGCCGCGGUAAUACCAGCACCACGAGUGGUCAGGACGUUUAUUGGUCCUAAAGCAUCCGUAGCCGGCUCUGCAAGUCUUCGGUUAAAUCCACCUGCUCAACAGAUGGGCUGCUGGAGAUACUACAGAGCUAGGGAGUGGGAGAGGCAGACGGUAUUCAGUGGGUAGGGGUAAAAUCCUCUGAUCCAUUGAGGACCACCAGUGGCGAAGGCGGUCUGCCAGAACACGUUCGACGGUGAGGGAUGAAAGCUGGGGGAGCAAACCGGAUUAGAUACCCGGGUAGUCCCAGCUGUAAACGAUGCAAACUCGGUGAUGCAUUGGCUUAUGGCCAAUGCAGUGCCGCAGGGAAGCCGUUAAGUUUGCCGCCUGGAAGUACG
rnacentral:rRNA from 1 species